AGCAGUAGCCGCGGGAAUACCGAGGGUGCGAGCGUUAAUCGGAUUUACUGGGCGUAAAGCGUGCGUAGGCGGCUUUUUAAGUCGGAUGUGAAAUCCCUGAGCUUAACUUAGGAAUUGCAUUCGAUACUGGGAAGCUAGAGUAUGGGAGAGGAUGGUAGAAUUCCAGGUGUAGCGGUGAAAUGCGUAGAGAUCUGGAGGAAUACCGAUGGCGAAGGCAGCCAUCUGGCCUAAUACUGACGCUGAGGUACGAAAGCAUGGGGAGCAAACAGGAUUAGAUACCCCCGUAGUCCCUGUCUCUUAUAC
rnacentral:rRNA from 1 species